AUGGGGAAAGACGCAGGAAUCCACCAGCCCACGGGACACACACGUAGCUGGGCAGAAGACCACGGAUUCGGCCACCUGAAGGAGCCCGGUGGGGAACCCGCACGUGGAGGCACGGGGAAAUCCCAGGUGCACACAGCACGGGGGCCGAGAUCGAGGGUCGCUUACGAAACCAGAGGACGAGCAAAUCCUCCUCAGGCUACAAUGACAUCAGUAAAUAAUAAAAGACUGGAUCCUGACAAAGAAAUGAAGGAGGAGAUAUCAGAUGUAGUGGGCAAAUGCUCUCCGAGGGACACGAUAGCUCUAGCAGCCUGCCAUCACCCUGCAAGAAAAAUAGAGUGAAAGCACAUGAGGUUUAACUCCUCCAAAAUGUGACUUUAGUGCAGAUUUGUGUUUAUAUAUUUUUGCAUCUGGAGUUUCCAAUGUGUGUGACCACAUCCUCCUUAAAUUCAGCAAGCCCUUAAAAGUGAACCACAAAGGAAACACAGCACUGAUUUAUUUAGGGAGAAAGAAAAGCUUUUGUUUUCUGUUAUUUUACGGAAUGCCAUUCUGACACAACCCUGUGCUUCUUCUGGGCCCUGUGCUAUGUGAGCAGCCCCUUGCUGUCCCAGAGGACGCACCGCGGCCUCCUGUCUUUAAGACAUAUCCCAGUCUCCCAUCUUUAAGCUUCAGCAAUAAUAUUUUCCUGACCCGCAAGAAGAGAGAGGAAAAAAUAAUAAAUGUUUGCGUUGUUGUGCUGCAUCUGAACAGCCUGGUACAAGCAGGGAGCCCUUUCUCAUCUGCUCCUUUCUCUUCAAGCUGGUGACGGAGCCCAUCAGGGCAUCUCCUGUGAUCUUCCUCCUCUCGGCCUCCAACAGCACCUGUGAGCAGCCCAUCUGUCAGGGAGAAAACCCUUUUGGCUCCACUCGGUGGUUAUGAAGGAAAGGGACCACACAUGCUCGGAUCGUUUAGGUCCAGGUCCCACAGGAAACCAUCAGGUUUUGAUUCUUAGCUCACGCUAUAGACAGGCACAUCACCGGGACCAAAUACGAGCAUUACCUGGUGGUACAGAGCUGGUGGGAUACCUACUGUUUCCAUGACCCCAUGGCCAUGCUUUCUUUUUUAUUUUUUUCCCCAAAAAUCAGAGUAUAUGCUGCAGUGCCCACGAGUAGUAGGUCCUGCUGGCCAGCACAGCACAGCAGGACAUGUGGGCGCCCUUGCACAGUGGAGAAAUUCGUGGAGGGCUUUGCUCUGAGCACAACCUGAUGUUUCUGAGCUACUGCCUUAGCAAAAGGCUCAGAAAAUAAAUAAAUAAAUAAAUAAAUAAAUAAAUAAAUAAAUAAAUAAACAGCCACAACACAACAAUUUCCACAGCUCCACUUCCCAGAUGCCACCUUCAGCAGUGCCAUACAGGAGCAGUGACCCCAAAAGUGGCCUUUUGCCAGGAGAAGGGGUGAUGGAGAUAAACCCGGCUGCUUUGACAGCCGUGCCGAACAGCAGAUGGUGCAAGAGGAAGCAGAGCCGCCAGCACAGGCUAGCGUUUUUCCUAGAUGAUGAUGAAGCAAAGCCAACGAGCUGCUGGCUCCUGCCUUGCGUGGUGUCCAGUCCAGGCGAACGGAGAGGCCUGGUGGCAGAGGGCCGGGCCAUGGAUGUGAGAAGAUCUCUGAAGGAGGGAGAGCCUGGAAGGCAGGAAGGCGAUGCUCAGGAAGACGUGCUGAACUGACUGCAGGCUGGGUGGGGCAGAAGACCAAAGCAUGAAUCAGCUGCCGAGGAGUGAAAUGAGGCCAGUCUUGGUCAUUGCAAGUUGGCUGCCACUGACUCGCCUCGCUGGCAGCCAGUUCAAUGGAAGCCGGACAGGAUAUGCCUGGGAAAAAGCCAGCAGAAGUUGAUUAAAUCACCGAGCUGCUGCUGCCCAAAAACCUUCCUACGCCCCUUUUCUGCAGUGGCUUGCUCAGGAGUUCACUAAGUGCCCUUGGGCAUCUUGCAGGCGUCCUCUGAUUCCUCCUGGCCAGCCGUGAGGCAGCAAUGGCCACACACUCAGCUAACAUAAAGGAAUUACGCAUUGUGUCCAUCACUGGGGGUGUUCUGGGACUGCUUCUGCUUUGCCAUGCAGGACCUAAGAGCAUGGAGGAGCAGAGGGAUGAAUCUUAGUGGAAGAGAGCCAAAACCACCAGGGUUUUGCCCUCAUACCCUCAUAUCCUCCAGACAGAUCAUCCAUGACCAGCUGCUCCUCCAAGGUGUAGCCUCAAGAUCCUCACCAGCAGGAGGUGCCCAGGAGGGACAGAUGAACCCAAGCGAGCCAGGCAGCUCUGCCUGGCAAACAUCAAGGAACGAGAGCUCCCUGCAAGCCCUGUCCUAUUGCUCCACAGGGGCCUAGGCCUCACAGUCAGACUGACCUGCUCCGCCUCGUACCUCUGUGUAAAUGAGUUGAGUUGCUUAACUGUCCCAGCGUGUGGGAUGCUCUUCCAGGGAGUUUCGUAGGGCAGAGCACAGGCAAGGGCAGCUCCGUCGUGAAUCCGAGCAGAGAGCUCAGUUGUGGCUGCCGGUUACGAAAAGUAGGGGAAAAAUAAACUGGGAAAGGUUGAGUGGGCAUCCAGCAGAACAGGACAAACCCAAUGCAGCUGUCAGGGGAUGAUAACUGUGUGGGUAUUUGGUACAGAGAGCAGAGUCGUAGCUGGGAGCCUGGGGAAGUGAGCCUGGGCUGGCUGCGAGGUAGCGCGGCAGGGAAGUAAUGGAGCAGCAUGGAGAGCUUGUGGCGGAAAAUCCUUCUAAAAACAGUGAUCCAACGGAGUCACGUCACAUCAGGCUAAAGAGCUGGAUCUCGUGGCCCUAGUCAUCAGAUCUGACCCUAAAACUGAAACUACCACACUGCCUGAUGCUGACGGACUUGGCUGCUUGGAAAAUCCCAUUCUGCCUGAGACAUGAAUAAAAAUCCGUCCAUGAAGUCAAGCAGUACGCAUUUCAGGACAUUCCAUUUGCAAUUGGGAAAAUAGUGCUGAUUAGAUAAGCUAAUGGCAAGGCCAGAUAACUUGUUUGGGAGAUGGAGUCCCUGUGUAGGCCAGGAGAACUGAGACAGGCUCUGGCUUUCCAGGGGUGCUGCUGGCUGCCAAGUGAUGCGAGGUUGCUGAGCCGUGUCCGUCUGUUUCCCCCAAGCUGAAGGAGAGUGACAAAAGCAAAUGAGUUCCCUGCAGCUGAAGCGAGCCAGGUAUAAAUAUAUAUUAUCAUUGCUAAUGGUGAUUUCUGCUCCUCAAAGCAUGCCGGGCACCUGAAGAUGUGAUGACAGCCAAGCUCCUUUCUUCGUGGCAUUUACAGUUCAGAUGUUUUCUGGGUCAGAUGGUUGCAGAUGGACCUGCAAUCCCUUCUCCAGCCCUUGGUGCUGGCUCAGUGUGUAGGGCUGGUGCUGAAAGCUGCCUUAAGCCUCCCUUUCCUCCCCUCCAAACCCCUCCAAAAAUGAAACCCAAUCUCUGACCAUCCCCUGACUCCUUCCUCCACCCCAAGCGAUAGAACAGGAAAUCUUACCAAAGCCCAACUUUAUGAAAGGGAAGGCAGACAAAGAGAGGGGAAGAAAGAAAAGAUUGCAUCCCAAACCACUACACCAGCCUCAUUACCCCACAAACUGAUAGCCUCCCUCUCACUUCUGUGAGCCAGCACCCAGCCCCUCGCUCUCAGCACACCACCUUCAGCUUUGGUGGGAUCUUCUCCAUAGGACCACAAGCACAGAGAGGACCCAAAACCCAGGAUUUGCCACAAAAGGGAGAACUUCCCAAUGAGAUUCUUGGGACUCUGAAGGAGUCAGGGAAGGCACGUGGAGGUGACAUGGCAAACGGGGGCAGCAGACGACAGAGGGACCAGGAUAAGAGAUGAGAUGAGGACCUGAAAUUCUCCCCUACCAUCACUGCAGAGGCUCAGAAAGGAGCCCGAGGGGCUCAGCAGUGGCAGAGGGACCACCAGGGCUAUCUGGGGGCUCACCUGCCCCUCAGGAGGACCAGCCAGGAGCGGGGGUGCUGAGCAGGAUGGGGCUGGUCCACGCUCCUCGGCUGCGGCCAGCUCCUCGCAGUUCAUCUCUCCAGAUUUCCUAGUAUUUGUUCUCUCGUUCUGGGAAGAGGAGAGAGCUGCAAGAGGCCCAUCUCACAGGGACGAUCGGAGAAAGGAAAGGCCAUUGUGCGAAAGAAUUUGGUAUUUCAGGGUUUGUUUUCCUUCUG
rnacentral:lncRNA from 1 species